rnacentral:rRNA from 1 species
AUGGGCGGCCACGCCGCCGGUCCCACCUCUUACGGCAGCAGCGGCAGGAGGAGUUUUCCGGCUCCGGCGGCGACCGCCAAGCAACGACGCGCGCCGGCGCCGGCGGGGAACGGCGGGAAGAGCGACGGAGGAGGGUACUUCGGCGCGGAGGCGGCGGUGGUGCUGGCGCUGAUGACGGCGGCGCUGCUGGUGCUGCCGCUUCUACUGCCCCCGCUGCCGCCGCCGCCGCCGCUGUUCCUGUUCGUACCCGUCGCCAUCCUGGCCGUGCUGCUCCUGCUCGUGCUCCUGCCCUCCGACGCCAGGGGCCUCCGCGUCGCGCCAUCCUACUUUGUCUCCGGAGUUGCAGUAGUAUCUCUGAAUUUUAAUCACAAGACAGUGGACAAACACAGGCCGGAGAUACUACCACAACACAAUGUUACUCUUCUGAAAGUUCAAACAGGUGACACCGAGGGGACAAAUUUCUGUGUCUCCGCGGCCGCCAACGACGACAUUUGGCCACACUGGCUCAUUACCGAGUUCCGUAUGACUGGCAGGCCCACCGUUGCCAAUUGCAUUCCCGCCGCCGCGAACGCUACAUUUUGCCUCCUUGGCUCGACCAGCAGGCCCACCGUUGCCAAGUCGCCGCCGGAGGUCAUCGCGCCGGCAGUGCCCACCCCAGGCGGCACCCUCGCGCUCUCCUCCAUUGACAGGACCGCCGGCGGCGCCGGCUUGGUUAACCUCAUCCAGGUAUUUCCCCCGCCCUCGUUCACCGCCGCCCGCAAGGAGCCGGGCACGGCCGUGGCCGCGAUGCGCGACGGGCUCACGAGGGCGCUUGCCGCCGCGAGCUGCGCGCUUGCCGACGUGGACGGCCUCGACUGCUGCCCGCUGCUCAUCCCCGGGGAGCUCCUCCUCCCGCGCCCUCCCCCCGGCGAGAAGCUCGAUGGCCUCAUCCUCAUGGUCCAGGCGACGAGGUUCACCUGUGGUGGCUUCGCCGUCGGGAUCAGCUUCAGCCACGCGGUGUUCGACGGCCAGGGCGCGGCGCAGUUCCUCACGGCGGUGGGGGAGCUAGCGCGGGGGCUCCAGGUGCCGUCAGUGACUCCGGUGUGGGACCGCGACGCGAUCCCGGACCCUCCAAGCCCGCCGCCGCCUCAGCUCACGGAGUUCAGGCUCGUGACCCAGGUGGCCGACAUAUCGGCAGAGAGCAUCGCGCGCGUCAAGGACGAGUUCAAGCAGGCUGCCGCGACAUCGAGGGGGGAGGUGUGCUCCACCUUUGACGCGGUGACGGCCGUGUUGUUCAAGUGCCGCGCGCUGGCGCUGGCGUCGGCGCUCCCUGACGAUGCCGCUGUCCGGGUCGCCUUCGCCGCCGGCACGCGGCACCUUCUCCACGGCGUGCUGCUGGCGGUGGACGGCUACUACGGCAACUGCGUGUACCUGGCGUGCGUCACUAAGGCAGGCAAGGCGGUCCGGGAGGCGUCGCUGGCGGAGGUCGUCGGCGCGGUACGGGAAGCGAAGGAGGCGGUCCCGGCGCGGUUCGCCGGCUGGAUGCGCGGCGUCGAUCACUACGACGUGCCGCUCGACUACAGCACGGUGACUGUGUCAGACUGGAGCCGCGUCGGCUUCCACGAGGUGGACUACGGCUUCGGCGCGCCAGGGUACGUGUUCCCGCUCAACGACCACGUCAACUUCGUCGCGUCGCUCAACUACGUCAGGCCGCCGGCGCCAAAGCGUGGGGGCAUACGGGUGGUGCUCCGCUGCGUCGAGGAGCCUCAUGCGGCCGCGUUCGCCGUCGAGCUCGCCAAGUUCGCCUAG